GUAGCAACUCUGGGUGAAAAAAAACUCAAUACUUUUGCGCCGUUUCUUCACACUGGGAAAAGUGACAGCCAUCAGCCUGAUAUCAGAAUGGCUGUCACCUUUGGAUGCUGAAUAUCUUCAAAACCACGAGGGUAGCAAUUGGUAGCAACUAAUGGUAGCUGGUAGCAAUUAGGGUUUUCUAAAAUGGCGUCCACCAGGUGGCGCACUGAGUCGUCAGGUCCAGGUAACUGUCAAAGUGCUUAUCUUUACUAUGAAUAGUGAACGAUUUUAGUGGUUUUUUUAUUUUAUAAUUAAAGCACUGCAUUAUUGUUUUACUAUUGAGGUUGAGUAAAUAAAAAAAACUAAAUCAUAUUGUGUUAACAAAUUUUUCAACUACCAGUGACUUUUGCACCCUCUCUCUUAGCUCAAUUUUUAGUUCGGAAACCUUAUUCUGACCGUAGUCCAUAAUAAAAUCAAUAACACUUCCAAUAUAACAGAAUUUCAAUAAACAAUAAGUUCGGCACCUACAAUUCCAUACUAUUUGACAGCUGUUUGGACCAGACGCAUACGUGGCGCCACCCGGUGGCAGAAAAAAUUUCAAAAACCCUCAUUCU
rnacentral:lncRNA from 1 species